UUGCUCCGGCAGAACAUACACACUGACAUUGGAGCGCUAGAAAGAAGAUUAGCAUGCCCCUGUGCAAGGAAGACAUGCAAAUUCGUAAAGCAUUUUUCAAUCAU